UUCUUUUUCCGUUUUUUCUUCGUAACCUUCACCGACGAUUUGCAGAGAUCGAACAAACGAUCACCUCUCCGUAAUCUCUCAACUUCGCAUUGACACCUUCUGUACUAAUUAAUGCUUUGAUUUUAAUGAUGGUGUUCAAUCAAACAAGCCAUCGCUUUCUCGUCCAUCCAGCUUCCCUUCGGACCCUCCCUUCGUAAUCAAACCCAAUCUCUAUAUAUGAACCCAAACGAGUAGUCUCUGCAAAUCUUAUCGCCUCGGUUUCUUCUUUCACACCAUUCUAUCUGUAAGAGUCUCUGAAACCAUGGUUAAUCCUCAACUUCUUCUGUCUGAGCUGAAGGUUAGACGUUGUAAGGAGACUGUUCUCACCCGGCUCCUUCAUCUUUGGGAAGUAAGGAAUAUGAAGAAAGGUGGUGAGUAAUGGCCGUUGAUAUGGGUUUGGUGGACGAGAAGGUACUUCUUUCCUAUGAAUCUGUUAUGUCUUAAGAUCACUGGAAUUUUGUAUGCAAUCCACGCUGAUUAAGCAUCUUAGAGAAGGAUGGAUUUUUGAGCUCCGUGUUUUCGACGUCACUGACGGCAGUACCCGUCUCGGACCAAACCACUUUACUCGAGAUUAUGGAAACAAACAACAGUUUACCUACGGAGAUCUUCAUGUUCUGCAAUUAUGAGGAACUUAUCUUGCUAAUACGUACACCCAAUUACCAGACAAUCCAGCUCUGUUUUUGGGAAGCUCAGAAUGUGAAAAAGGUGGUGCACUUAUGGGUGUCGACAUGCUACUAUUGGAUGAUAAGGUACUAGCUUUAAUGAUCAUGUUUCGUGAUUAUUAUAACUAUGGUUCGUGAAUUUUGGUUUACAUCUCCUACUCAUGCCGGCAUAUCUCAUCCAAGCCUCUGUAACGGUCCAUCGGCUUAACGCAUUCAGAGAAUUUGAUGGUAACAAGAAUUUGGAGCACGAGAUCUCCAGGAUACUUUUAGCUAAGGCGAAGAUAAGCUCUUUAUAAGUUAUCUUCUCCUCUACAUGUUACGUGAAUUAGUCUCUUCAAUUUGUUCAAAUAUCAUUGAAUGUAUAAACCGCAAAGCAAAGCACAAUAUAUACACAAGAAACCGGAGGAAUGGAGUGUAAGGGAUUCUCAAGCCCUGUUCGUUUGGUUGCCGCAGGUUUCAGCGUCAGCGGCAACGUCAGCGGCAGCGUCAAUGAAGACAGUUGUUGUUCGUUUCGCAGACGCUGACGCUGCCGCAUAUUAUAUCACGACCGCAGGUUUUAUCGGCGUCAGCCGCAGGACGCGGCGUCAGACGCAGCUUCCUGCGUCAACGAAGCGAACAAGAGUUGACGCAAAAUGUUGACGCUGCCGCUGCCGCCGGUACCUGCGGCAACCAAACGAACAGCC